AGUAAUCACUGGCGAGCAAUAAUGUGAUAGGGCAUCAGGAGGAAGAGAGCUUGUCGUGCUAAGACAUUCUGAAAAUAAACUAUACUUUCUUUUUCUUUCUUUCAUCACAGGUGUAAUACUUCUCCACAUCUGCUUCAGGAAGAAAGUGCCUGCUACUCUUACUGUUUCUACGCAGGUUCAUGCCAGCCCAGAACGCAGAAUCAGAAUGAAGUCGUAAAGCUUUGACCAUCUGCUCUCCUGCAUCGAGGCUAAUUUUGCACUGGAGGAACUUUAAAAAGCCUAACCUAGAAUCGUCUUUUGAAAGUAAAGAUUGGCUGUUUCUGAACUGAAUGAAGGAUUGUUGUGAAUAUGCCUCUGUGCUGAAGUAGAAUGUGAGUUCAGGAAUUAUUUCAUUUCCACAUGUCUAGGGAAGGAAA
rnacentral:lncRNA from 1 species